AGCGGCGACAAAGGGCAAUAUUCACAGUUUAUCUCAGGGUGAUGGAUCUGAAUGGACGCAUGAACACGGGUUUGUUAGAGAAAGAGCUGGCCACAGCCCCCCGCCGGGAACCCAGUGGCCGCAGUCUGCAGUGCAAACAGUCAGUCUAAAUCCUGAACAAUUAGGGGAAACCAAGCUGCCUUUAUCUGAACUUCAACUUGUUCUCAUGAUUGAUAUGGGAAAUGAAAAGUUGUACAAGGCUCGGGAAGGGUCUGCUGGCCCUGGCUGCACGCAGGGCCGCGGAGAAGGUGUGUGAUGUGUAUUUCAUAUACAGAGUGGAAGCUGCCCGCCACCCAGCUAGUGCAUCAGGAUGUGUAGGUCUGAGCAGGCACCUCAGACUGCUUCAGAGAGUUGGAUGGGGGCGUCUGUAAGCAAGAAGAGGAAUGCAGACACCCAAUGUACGAUGUUCACUUCAAGGGGAGGUACAGUGGCACUUACACCUCAGAGACUUAAGUCUCUUCCUCAGGGAGCAAUGAGGAAGCUGUUUGUUGAGAGGAAUCACAUGACAGAAGGAAAGGAUGUGGCACAAGGACGAACUGGGCAUGGAAAGAUGGUAAUGUUUAUGUGCCCACCGGUGGGAAGGAAAGACCUUGUUCUAUGCUGUAGAAAAUGCACAAAGGUUCGGACAUUGUGGGCACGGGGGCCUCCUGGCUGAAGUGCAGGGUUUGUGGAAGGGGAGGUGAGAGGCUGGAGAAAUGAGCAGCUCUUCAAAGCCCUUCACACUGAGGUAAAGAUCCGCCUUUCACCCUGUAGGGAAUGGGAAGCAGCUAUCCUGGAGUUGGGGGCUACCUUCUCAUCUGUUCACUGAAGAGAGCUCCUGAGACUCUGGCCUGAUUGGACUGGUGCAGUGGUACACGGGCUUGUCCCAUGCAGACCCAACAAGGCUCAGUGACACAUUCGAUGUGGGAGAGAGGUCAAAGGUGACAAAGGUUGUGAGCCUUUGACUCCAACACUCAUCCAUCCAUUAAUGAAACUUCGGACUCCUUACCAAAAUUCCACAGGAUAGCCCACUCGUUGCCAGGAACUUACAUAAUCAAUCACUUCAUUACACGGUAUACUUCCAGGGAGAGAACUAGAGGGCGUGCGUACCUUCCAAGAAGCUCACAUGGGAACUGUUCACAGUUGUACUUUACAGAGAUGGAAUUGGAUGCCACCAUUCCCUCAUCUUCACAGAGGGGGAAACUGAGGCUCAGGACAAUUAAGUGGUUGAUUUGCCCAAACCUGAGCUGGGAUUUGGACUGGGUGCUGACGACAAAGCCCUUCACUGUCCUUUAUGCUAAAUGCCUCUGGUGAAGCUGGCUGGGAGGCUCGCAGGCCACGGCACAAAAAGAUCGGCGCUCAGGCCACUCUCUGAAACAGACUUCCAAGAACCCUCUUCAAAGCAGCCUGAGGCAUUCAGCUCUGCCCGGCAUUCACUGUGGAAGUAUUUCCUUUGUCCCCACCAUCAGAGGUAAGUGACAUCUUGAACAGCUCAGGAAGAUUAAAUAGCCCGGCUCCCUCGGAAAGCUUAAGAAAAGAGUGAGAGAAAGAGAGAGGGAGAGAGAGAAGAAAGGGGCCACGCCGGCCAUUAUGGAGCCGCCUCCCCCACCCCUUUUCUGUGAAAGAGCUCCCAAGAAGCGCCAUUGGAAGAAGCAGGCGCAGAUAAGACUACAAUGACAGAGAGCCCGAGAAUACGGAUUACUGCAGCUUGGAGCAGCUGAAGAAAAGGAGAAUCCCAGUCAGGAUGGAAGUGAGGAAUUCCUUUUUUCCCCCUUCCCCUCCAAGACUCCAGUUCACUGCGCAACAACAAUGCGAGGUGGGGGGCACUUGACAUGCCCCUCUUCCAGGCCAUGUUGGCGCCCCAUGUGGGGCUCCCGGGGAACAAGGGCGGUGCAAACCCAAACAAAGCCGGUUUUAACCCAAUAAACUCACCCCACAUUCUCAAAUAGAAAUGCCAAAAGCUUGGGCUUGCCGAGUACCCAUCCAUGGCCCAAACACACGGGACAAACAAGGCCUUGGGCAGGGCGUGUUUGAACAGCAAAAUUCACCUUCUGUAAUGCUUGCUGCCUUUUUUGUUUUGCUUCAAUGAAAGGAAGACUUUGGAUCCUGCUAGCAGUUGGCAAGACUUAGGAAAGAACUGUUUUCCUGAGAUGGUGAUUCUUCUUGUUGCUGAUGGUGGUGUGGUGUGGAGGAUGGAACUUGGGGCUUCGUUCACUCCUUAACAAGCACUGCACCAAUGUCUCUUCUUAAACAUACACUAUCCUAUUUCAUCCCAAACCACACCCUUGGACACUCAACACUCACUUGAGAAAUGUGCCUAAAGGCCUUUAGACUGCAGAUGUCUCUGUGUAACAACCCUGGGUGUCCUGGAACUCUAUAGACCAGGCUGCCUUUGAACUCUGAGAUCUGCUUGCUUCUGCCUCCUGAGUGCUGAGAUUAAAGAUGUGUACCACCACCGACCAGCUAACAAAUAAUGUUACGGCUGGGGUCAGCACGGCAUGAGAAACUGCAGUAAAGGGUCAGCAUUAGGAAGGCUGAGGACCACUGCUCCCAGUACUCUGUUGCUUGUAAGACGCAGCCAGCAGCUUACUUAAUGCCUUCUCUACAUCUUCACAGUGCAUAACCCUAGCAAGAAUUCCGUGUGAAUGAAGCGUGCCAAGUCUGGUUUCUCAGGGGUGGGGGUGGGGGAUGUAGAGUAAAGCAAUAUUGCCACAGUGUUCAAACUGUAAAUGCACUUUUUUUUCAAACA